UUCUUGUGAAAGACCCCCAGAGCAGGGAGACCCUCACUCAAGUCUCAGGAUGGCGCGACCCCUCAAGAACUCACAUAAGACC
rnacentral:pre_miRNA from 14 species